GACGAACCGUGCGAACGUUGUUCGGAAUCACUGGGCUUAAAGGGCGCGUAGGCGGCCGGGUUGGUCGUGGGUGAAAUCCCCCAGCUUAACUGGGGAAUUGCCUACGAUACUGCCUGGCGUCGAGGGAGGAAGGGGCGGCCGGAACUGUCGGUGGAGCGGUGAAAUGCGUUGAGAUCGACAGGAACGCCGGUGGCGAAAGCGGGCCGCUGGCCCUCUUCUGACGCUGAUGCGCGAAAGCCAGGGGAGCGAACGGG
rnacentral:rRNA from 1 species